GAUGAACGCUGGCGGCGUGCCUAAUACAUGCAAGUCGAGCGAAUGGAUUAAGAGCUUGCUCUUAUGAAGUUAGCGGCGGACGGGUGAGUAACACGUGGGUAACCUGCCCAUAAGACUGGGAUAACUCCGGGAAACCGGGGCUAAUACCGGAUAACAUUUUGAACCGCAUGGUUCGAAAUUGAAAGGCGGCUUCGGCUGUCACUUAUGGAUGGACCCGCGUCGCAUUAGCUAGUUGGUGAGGUAACGGCUCACCAAGGCAACGAUGCGUAGCCGACCAGAGAGGGGGAUCGGCGACACUGGGACUGGGACACGGACCGGACUACUGCGGGAGGCAGCAGUAGGGAAUCUUCCGCAAUGGACGAAAGGCUGACGGAGCAACGCCGCGUGAGUGAUGAAGGCUUUCGGGUCGUAAAACUCUGUUGUUAGGGAAGAACAAGUGCUAGUUGAAUAAGCUGGCACCUUGACGGUACCUAACCAGAAAGCCACGGCUAACUACGUGCCAGCCGCCGCAGUAA
rnacentral:rRNA from 1 species